rnacentral:rRNA from 1 species
AUUGAACGCUGGCGGCAGGCCUAACACAUGCAAGUCGAACGGUAACAGGAAGCAGCUUGCUGCUUCGCUGACGAGUGGCGGACGGGUGAGUAAUGUCUGGGAAGCUGCCUGAUGGAGGGGGAUAUCUACUGGAAACGGUAGCUAAUACCGCAUAAUGUCGCAAGACCAAAGAGGGGGACCUUCGGGCCUCUUGCCAUCGGAUGUGCCCAGAUGGGAUUAGCUUGUUGGUGGGGUAACGGCUCACCAAGGCGAUGAUCCCUAGCUGGUCUGAGAGGAUGACCAGCCACACUGGAACUGAGACACGGUCCAGACUCCUACGGGAGGCAGCAGUGGGGAAUAUUGCACAAUGGGCGCAAGCCUGAUGCAGCCAUGCCGCGUGUAUGAAGAAGGCCUUCGGGUUGUAAAGUACUUUCAGCGGGGAGGAAGGGAGUAAAGUUAAUACCUUUGCUCAUUGACGUUACCCGCAGAAGAAGCACCGGCUAACUCCGUG